UGGGGAAUUUUGCGCAAUGCUCGGUAGAGUGACGCAGCGACGCCGCGUGAAUGAGGAAGGCCUUCGGGUCGUAAAGUUCUUUCGACAGGGAAGAAAUUAAUUAUAAUUAACUGUGUAAUUAUUGACGGUACCUGUAUAAGCAGCCCCGGCUAACUCCGUGCCAGCAGCCGCGGUAAUACGGAGGGGGCGAGCGUUGUUCGGAGUGACUGGGCGUAAAGAGCACGUAGGCGGUGUUAUAAGUCAUUAGUCAAAGACUAGAGCUCAACUUUAGUAAGGCUAGUGAUACUAUAAUACUAGAGUAUCAGAGAGGAUUGCAGAAUUCCUGGUGUAGCGGUGAAAUGCGUAGAUAUCAGGAGGAAUACCAUUAGCGAAGGCGGCGAUCUGGCUGGUAACUGACGCUGAGGUGCGAAAGCGUGGGUAGCAAACAGG
rnacentral:rRNA from 1 species